GACGUAGGGCGCGAGCGUUGUCCGGAUUUAUUGGGCGUAAAGAGCUCGUAGGCGGCUUGUCGCGUCGUCCGUGAAAACCCACAGCUCAACUGUGGGCUUGCGGUCGAUACGGGCAGGCUGGAGUUCGGUAGGGGAGACUGGAAUUCCUGGUGUAGCGGUGAAAUGCGCAGAUAUCAGGAAGAACACCAAUGGCGAAGGCAGCUCUCUGGGACGGUACUGACGCUGAGACGCGAAAGCGUGGGGAGCGAACAGG
rnacentral:rRNA from 1 species